GCGGCGGUGCGGCGGGAGCGCGCGCCCCCCCCUUCUCCCCCGACUUCCCGCCCCGGCGCGAGGGGCGCGGGCGGGAGCGGGGAACGGUCCCCUCAGGGAGGGACGGGCGCGACGGUGCUGGGACCGUCCGUGAGGGAGCGGCGGGACAGCGAGGGGUGGCAGGAGGCGCGCGGGCCCCUCAGCGGGGACAGCCCUCAGCGAGGGGCCGGGUGCGGGGUUCCCGGGCUGCCCCCGCCACCGCCCUCCCCUCCGGCUGACACUUGUCGUGCGCAGACAACACGCACUGUACCAAACAAUUCAGCCCGAGCCCUGCUGCAAACUCGCCGCGUUAUUUUUCUCCUCCGCUUGUUUAUGGCUGACGCUAUCUCGCCUGCACCGCUCCCUCGGUUUCAUUAUCUCUGCUCGCAGAUGGCCCGUGGCUUUCCCUCCUUCGCGGGGUUUGUGCUCGUGGUACAGCUCCAUCUCCCCCUCCCAGCUCUCUGUCCCUCACCCUUGCUCACAGGUGAUGCUCCCAAAUUGCUCCCACCUCGUCCCUCUCAGCCCCUCAUCACCAGCCCCAGUUCUUCCUGCUGUGGCUUCUGCUUCCCUGAAUCCCAUUUACGGGUUUCCAGGUGAGCCUUUCCCAGAAAAGCACUUCACUCCAGCAGUCCUGCGUUCUGCAGUGCCUCUUCCCGAACAGUAAGUCCCUUCUCUUCUGAAGACCGCGCCAUUGCAUAAAAUAAAUCCAAAGGCACCCUGGCUUGUACCAGUAAUAUUGUGGCCAGCAGGACCAGGGCAGUGCUGCGCGCUGCUGAGGCCCCUCCAAUCCUUGGGACGGUUCUGAGCUCCUCGUGACUUGGGCUGGAGCGUGUCUGGAGAAGGGAACAGAGCUGGGAAAGGGGCUGGAGCACCAGGAGCAGCUGAGGGAGCUGGGGGGGCUCAGCCUGGAGAAAAUUAGGCUCAGGGGGGACCUUCUCGCUCUCUGCAACUCCCUGACAGGAGGGGGGAGCUGGGAUGGGGGUGUCGGGCUCUGCUCCCAGGGAACAAGGGAUGGGAUGAGAGGAAACGGCCUCAAGUUAUGCCAGGGGAAGUUUAGAUUGGAUACUGGGGAAAUUUCUUUCCAGAAGGGGUUAUUAAACAUUGGAAGGGCUGCCCAGGGCAGUGGUGGAGUCACCAUCCCUGGAAGUGUUCAAAAAACAAGAGGACGUGGCAUUUCGUGAUAUGGCUUAGUGGGCAUGGUGGUGUUGGGUCAAAGACUGGACUCGGUGGUCUUGCAGGUCUUUUCCAACCAUAAUGGUCUUUUUUCAAAAAUCAUAAUAGAAAAUCCGUGGCCACACAGUUACUGAAACUGAAACCUGCCUUUUUUCCCCUCUCCUUUGUAAAGAUGCUACUUCUCCCCUUAACCAUGCCGUAACACGUGUUUUUACUAAUACUAUUUUGAGGAAAUUUUUAUUUCCUGACAUGCUCAAAUACCAAAAUAAUCUAUAAUAAAAAUUUCCAAUCAGUAGCAGUACUUGUUCUGGUUUUGCUGUGACACAGUUGUCUCUUGAAUUCCAGCUAAUGGCUCAGCUGAUCAAUAUUUUAUAGUGACUGCUGCUUUCCAUGCGGCUCUUACAUAAACACUGUUGGGAGGAAAGAAAUCCCUGAGCUGACAGAGCAGAAAGGCAGGAUGGCCUCCUGGGCUUGCCUAUUAAUUGAUAAAUUUACUAAAAAUUGUGUCCGACCUUUUUAUUGAUUCAUCUUAAUUUACUUUAAGUUACAUUUUUACUUCAUAAAGGAUGAUGAAUUUAUUUAAUCUGGAGGAUUAAAGAAGUGCUACAACUUCCAAGGAUUCAAAGACACGGUGGAAAAAGUGACCUCAUUGGCAAAGACUUUAAGACUUCACAAACCGCCUUCACGAGGCAGAAGAAUAUGACAUGGGAACGGCUGGCUGGGAACAACGGCGUGUCUUGAUGCCGGCGUGGUUGGUGGAGCUGGGGAGGAGGAAUGCUGUUAAGAAGUUUGCAGCUUUUAUUGUGUGCUGUCAAAGGAAAACUUGCAGCCUGAAAGAACAGGCGUCAUGGACUAUUGAUCCUAUCUGGAAACAGCAUAAAUGUUGGAGGCAAAUGUGUUAAAAUCUGUUUUGACCAUCACACAGAUUCAAGGGAGACAGCUGGGAUGCCCCGUUCCCUCCUUUCUUACCUUAAUAAAUGGCAACAUCUCACUUUCUAACAAACUUCUCUGUCUUCAUCCUUGUGGACACGUGCAGCAUUCAUUGCAAGCUUUGUUUUGAAUCCUGGUAACCUCUAGGUGAAAGAACUCAUCAAAAAAAACAAAACCCACCAGAUUUUCUGACUUCUGUUCACAGAUUAACAGGCAAGCAUUAGAAAAUAUUGUGAAACCUUGUUCCUGCUCCAUGCUUUUUAAAAUUGUUCAAGUAUCACAGUGCUUAUCUCAUUUUUCCAUAGCAGAAGAGCACAAGGACUACCUUUGACAUCUUUUCCAUACGAAGCCACGGAAGCUGAGUAAGUGGGUGGUGUGUUCUUCUCACUUCCUCACAGCGGCCAGGUUGGUUUUGUGUUGUGUGCUUUCAUCCUUCUGAAAUUGCUGUUCAACUUAUUCAUGUUACUGAGACAAUUUUGUAUACCAGAUGCACAGAUAAAAGAAGUGAGUAAGCAGUAGAAGACCUUUUUAUGUGAAUUGGAUCUUUUUAUGUGACUCAAGAGGGAGGAUAAAUCCUGGUCUGGCUGAGUGGGAAUCUCUGGCUCCUGUGGGACCAGGAUUUUACUUUCAGGCUUUAUGGUUGUUUCAUUGGAGAGGUCUUUAUGCUGAAAGCAAUGCAGAAUAUUCUGCUUGUUUGGCAAAAUGUCUGCCACCAGGAGGUGGCUUCACUCAAAUAUACAUUUCUGUAAGACGAAGACAAACUUAAAAUUUAUUGCUCGUUCUGUUCAUAACCAGAAGUUCUCCUGGCUUGCCAAGCUGCUGAAUCAGCUUGGGUACCUCACCCUUGAGUCAGCACAGCCCAAAAUAGAAAGUUGCUCCGUUUCCGAAGAGAGGAAGUCCCACUGUUGCCUGCAAACACAACCUCAUCUAACGGGCUUUUAUAGCUGGGAACACUCAAUGGAGGGACUUGUGUGACACUCUGCUUCUUUAAAAAAAGAAAGGGAAAUAAGAAGGCAUUUUCUGACUCAAAACAGGAGUGUUGCUGUGAGUGGGACUGUGUGGGUGUGGAAGUACCGAGGAGUAAAGAGCAGGAGAAGGGCUGUACAAGUGGCAGUCGCUCAUGUCCCCUCAAGUCAGCAUCAAGCUCCUGCUCCAGCUACUUGCAGCUUCUCAGGACAUUCAAAUUAGGGAGACAAGGGACAGGCUACAACCAAGCUGAAGCCAAGUCUUAAGUCAUUAAGAAAUGAGGGCAAGGAGACAGGGUAGAAGCUCUAAAACGCUGACUAGAGAUCAGCUACAGUGGUGCUCCUCCAGCAUUCCCAAGGCAGAGUUGAGUCACUCCCUCUGCCAUGCGGUAACUCCACUUUAUAGCCCAGCAUAAAACAGCAAAAAACAGUGAAAAUGACCAAGAGCUGCAGUCAAAUAGUGGGAAAUGACACUUAAAGUCAUCGGCAAGACUUCGUGGAAGGGAGUGAAAAGGCAAUAUAAGAGUAGUCCUUCUGUGAGUAAAUUAGGGAGGAGUUUCUGUGUCUCCAGGUCAGGCCAUUCACAUUUGCCCUUCUCAAGCUGGGCAGCUUUUCCUCUUGCACAUGUAGCAUCCUUAAUUUUUGGCGCUCUGCAGAAGGACACCCAUUCAAAAUGAAGCUUCAGGGGUCUGUCAAGCAGCACUUGCUUGUGCCCCCUUCCCAUGAGUGCUCCUCGUUUUCCCUUUGGGCAGACAAAACCCAGUAACCUCUCUCAAACCCUGUGCAGGUGGGAUAUGCAACCAUUACUGAGGGAAACAAACCUUUAUCUCAGGCAAAGCCCUGUUGUAUUUUACUUUCUCUGGAAGCUUUCCCUCUAUCUCCUCUGAAAGAAGGGCUGGAUGCCCAUGUGCUGAUCCCCUGUGCCUUGAUGCUCCUCCACCUGUAUAACAUCACACCUUACAGGAUCUUGCAAAAUAAGGUUUAUGAAGCCAAGGAGGAGCAGAAAAUAAAACCUUUCCAUUCUCACAGCUCACUUAUUUAGCCAACUUGUCUUCAUAGCAGUUUGCGUGGGAAGACCCUGAUGGAAAGGGGAGCUUUUACAGGAGCAGCAAAAGUAAUUUGUAUUAUUACAAUUUAAAAAGUAAAUUAUUCUAAACUAGUCUGAAGUAUUCAUAUAACCUUGCAGGCAGGAUUCCUCCUAGGGUGACCCUCGGUACAGGAAUUUCCUGCAGAAUUAUGAAGGAAACUGUAGAGAUUUGAAAAAAAAACCAAGUUGUUUCUGCAAUAGGUGUGAAUGUUGCAACACGCAGUUCUACCAUUUUCUGAUUCUUGCAAUAGCGCAGUUGCAAAUUGCAACACAUUUUAUAUUUGGUGUUUUGGGUUAUUCAGCUGAAAAGUGGCGGGAAUGGGAAUUUACAGGCACAGUUCCAGGGUUCUGCAGUCCCCUCGUGCACACACCACGGGUCUGGGGGAAAGACCUGCUGCAAACCCACAGAAAAACCCCGCCAAGGAACUGCAAGGAAUUACACAGCGUAAAACUUCUUGAAACAUCUGCUGUGUGUGCACCAAGCACUUUUUAAAUUUAGGUUUCUAGGAAGAAGAGAGAGUUGCUGUGGCAUUUUUGCGACUUGAUCCCUCGUCUCGGUUGAUCCGCAGUGGAAAGGUGACCCCGAGCCCGGCCGAGCUGGGAAUGGAUCUGGUGAGAGCCGAGCAGAGUGUUCCCAAAUGCAUCCCUGAAUAGACUCACUUGCUCUUUUCCUGGCUCUAUUUUAACCACAGAUCUGUCAUUCUGCCCUGAGGGUGCCAGAAUUAAAAAAAAAACCCAAUAACAGAACUCAGUAA